ensembl:ncRNA K03H4.4 ncRNA
UGGGACAAGACAGGGUGUCUUCUUCUCGUGCUCAUUUUGGACGAAAACGUGACGGCUGGCGGUGGUGGUUAGAGCCAGCAGACGCAAGAGCGCGUACACACAUGAAUUAACUGGGAUUUAGAUGUGUACAUAAGGGCAUU